rnacentral:rRNA from 1 species
GACGAACGCUGGCGGCGUGCUUAACACAUGCAAGUCGAACGAGACGAUUGAAAGCUUGCUUUCGAAAGUCGAGUGGCAAACGGGUGAGUAACGCGUAGACAACCUGCCUUUGAGAUGGGGACAACAGUUCGAAAGGACUGCUAAUACCGAAUGUUGUAUAUUUUCCACAUGGAAGAUAUAUUAAAGAUGGCCUCUAUUUAUAAGCUAUCGCUCAAAGAUGGGUCUGCGUCUGAUUAGCUAGUUGGUGGGGUAACGGCCUACCAAGGCGACGAUCAGUAGCCGGUCUGAGAGGAUGAACGGCCACAGUGGGACUGAGACACGGCCCAGACUCCUACGGGAGGCAGCAGUGGGGAAUCUUCCACAAUGGACGAAAGGCUGAUGGAGCAACGCCGCGUGAGUGAAGAAGGGUUUCGGCUCGUAAAGCUCUGUUGUCGGGGACGAAUGUGCAGUAUUUGAAUAAAGUACUGUAAUGACGGUACCUGACGAGGAAGCCACGGCUAACUACGUGCCAGCCGCCGCGGUAA